AUCAACGCUGGCGGCGCGCUUAACACAUGCAAGUUCGAACGAGAAAGGGGAGCAAUCCCUGAGUACAGUGGCGUACGGGUGAGUAACACGUGGGUAAUCUACCUUUUGGUGGGGAAUAACCCUGGGAAACCGGGGCUAAUACCGCAUAAGCUCGAAAGAGGAAAGGAGCAAUUCGCCGAAAGAGGAGCCCGCGGCUGAUUAGCUAGUUGGUGAGGUAAAGGCUCACCAAGGCAAUGAUCGGUAGCCGGCCUGAGAGGGCACACGGCCACACUGGCACUGAAACACGGGCCAGACUCCUACGGGAGGCAGCAGUGGGGAAUCUUGCACAAUGGGGGCAACCCUGAUGCAGCGACGCCGCGUGAGUGAUGAAGCCCUUCGGGGUGUAAAGCUCUUUCGGCAGGGACGAUAAUGACGGUACCUGAAGAAGAAGCUGCGGCUAACUACGUGCCAGCAGCCGCGGUAAUACGUAGGCAGCGAGCGUUGUUCGGAGUUACUGGGCGUAAAGAGUGCGUAGGCGGCUUUUCUAAGUUUGGUGUGAAAUCUCCCGGCUUAACUGGGAGGGUGCGCCGAAGACUGGAAGGCUGGAGUAUGGGAGAGGUACGCGGAAUUCCUGGUGUAGCGGUGAAAUGCGUAGAUAUCAGGAGGAACACCUGCGGUGUAGACGGCUUGCUGGACCAUCACUGACGCUGAGGCACGAAAGCGUGGGUAGCAAACAGGAUUAGAUACCCUGGUAGUCCACGCCCUAAACGAUGCAUACUUGGUGCGGGUAGUUCAUUCUAUCCGUGCCGGAGCUAACGCGUUAAGUAUGCCGCCUGGGGAGUACGGUCGCAAGGCUGAAACUCAAAGGAAUUGACGGGGGCCCGCACAAGCGGUGGAGCAUGUGGUUUAAUUCGACGCAACGCGAAGAACCCUACCUGGGCUCGAACGGCUUUGGACGACUCUUGGAAACAGGGGUUUUCCCGCAAGGGACUGAAGUCGAGGUGCUGCAUGGCUGUCGUCAGCUCGUGUCAUGAGAUGUUGGGUUAAGUCCCGCAACGAGCGCAACCCUUGUCCUGUGUUGCAACUAAUAGGCACUCUCAGGAGACCGCCAGCGAUAAGCUGGAGGAAGGUGGGGAUGACGUCAAGUCAUCAUGGCCUUUAUGUCCAGGGCUACACACGUGCUACAAUGGGCGGUACAGACCGCUGCAAACCCGCGAGGGGGAGCAAAUCGGAAAAAACCGUUCUCAGUUCGGAUUGCAGGCUGCAACUCGCCUGCAUGAAGCUGGAAUCGCUAGUAAUGGCAUAUCAGAACGAUGCCGUGAAUACGUUCCCGGGCCUUGUACACACCGCCCGUCACACCAUGGGAGUGGGUUGCACCAGAAGUAGCUAGUCUAACCUCAGGAGGACGGUUCACCACGGUAGUGAUUCAUGACUGGGGUG
rnacentral:rRNA from 1 species